rnacentral:rRNA from 1 species
AUGAUAGAAGAGUUGGAAGCACCGAGGAAAAAUAAGACGUGGGUGCUAACCACAUUGCCGGCAGGAAAGAAAGCAGUGAGUUGUAAGUGGAUCUAUACAGUGAAGCAGAAUCCUGAGGGGAAGGUGGAACGGUAUAAGGCCAGAUUGGUCGCCAGAGGAUAUAGUCAAACUUAUGGAAUUGACUAUGAUGAGACGUUUGCUCCAAUGGCAAAGAUGAACACAGUAAGGAUAUUGGUUUCCUGUGCUGCAAACUUUGGGUGGAAAUUGCAUCAAUUAGAUGUCAAGAAUGCCUUCUUGCAUGGUGAGUUGCAGGAAGAAGUGUACAUGGAGAUACCACCAGGUUUUGGUACUUCACUGACAACGGGGAAGGUAUGCAGGCUGAAGAAAUCCUUGUAUGGACUGAAGCAAUCGCCGAGGGCUUGGUUUGAUAGGUUCAGGCGUGCUGUCCGUGCUAUGGGGUAUGGUCAAUGUAAUGGUGAUCACACGGUGUUCUACAGACACUCACUCUCUAAUCGAAAGAUCACCAUUCUUGCAGUUUAUGUGGACGACAUUAUCAUCACCGGAGAUGGUGAGGAGGAAAUAAAGAGAUUGAAGGGGUGUCUGAGCAAUGAGUUUGAGGUGAAGGAUUUGGGCAACCUAAAAUACUUCCUUGGGAUUGAAGUGGCCCGGACAGAGAAGGGAAUAUCUUUGUGCCAAAGGAAAUACACCUUGGAUCUCUUGAGUGACAUGGGCAUGAUGGGAUGCCGUGCAGCCCCUACGCCGAUUGAACAAAAUCAUCAAGUGACAGCUCAGUCAGGCGAGCUGGUGAAUAAGGAAGAUUAUCAGAAACUGGUUGGGAGGUUAUUGUACUUGUGUCAUACCAGGCCUGACAUUACGUAUGCCGUGGGUGUGGUGAGCAGAUACAUGCAUGAACCAAGGAGUGGGCAUCUUGAUAUUGUGCACAGAAUUCUGAGAUACUUGAAGGGGACUCCAGGUAAAGGGUUGUGGUUUGCGAAGAGUGGACAUCUUGAAGUGGAUGGCUAUAGUGACUCUGAUUGGGCCAGUUGUCAAGAUGAUAGAAGAUCAACUUCUGGCUACUGUGUGUUUGUGGGAGGAAACUUGGUGUCGUGA